ensembl:lncRNA
AUCGGGACCUCAGUCACCCCUCUGUUUUGAGCCAUAAUGACCUCGUUCCUGCCUGCCUGAUCCUCAACGGUACUUCUGUCUAACUCCACGUAAUCCCGGCUUUCGACCACCCGCCUGUACUCCGGAUACGACCACGCCUGACCCCCUGACGGUGCCUCUGUUUAUCCCCGCUCUCCUGGCUUUCGACCCUCUGCCCGCCUACUGGACUCGACCACGCCUAACCCUUGUCUGUACUUCCACAAUAAAGCUGCGCUCUGCGCUUGGGUUUCACUCCUGUCUCUUGUGAUGCGUUACAGAAGACUUCGCCUUCAAUCAGACCCAGCAGAGUCGCAGAGUCCCUUCAGUCCUUGGAGAUGUCCGACCCGGACCAGCGGGCUGUAGGAGGCCCCAGCAUGGCACAUAUCGUCAAACAUCUUGCCGCGGUCCAAGCAGAGCACGGUCAACGACUGGGUCGAGUCGGGGAGUCCGUGCACAACUUAGCAGCAGCGCUCCAGGAUUUCCAGCAGUACACAGUACAUACGGCUGUUCAGGCGCUCGCCGCUACUGCCCCUGUCGAGGCUCCCUCUACCAGAGGAACCCUCGCACCAGCGUUACCACAGUCAGCACUUCAUCUAGCGCCACCUCAGCGAUAUGAUGGUAGUCCCGAACUCUGCAGAGGUUUCCUGACGCAGUGCUCGUUGAUAUUUGAACUGCAAUCCCC